rnacentral:lncRNA from 1 species
AGUGCAUGGUAUGGGACUACUUCCAGUUCCCAACCAUGUUUAUGGCCAAACAUCACACCGUCUCAGGAACAUUAAUAUCACUACCGUAGAGGGUACACCACAUGAAGUAGCGAUACAUAUUAUUGAUGAUGUGGAGAAGUUAAAGGAGCAUGCACAGAAGCAAGAUCAGCUUAUUCAACAACUGCUUAAAGAAAAGACUGACAUGAAAAACAAACAGGAAAAGGUGUCCUUGAAAAAAAACAAGCUAAGAAAGGUCAAUCGACUAAAAGGAUAUCAUAGCAACUCUCAGCUACAAGCAGUACAUUCUAAAAGAAAGAGAGUCCAAUGCGACGCAGCUGAUCGAGAAGACCUCCUGAGUCAGCAAAGAUAUCCAUUCAAGGACAUAUAUGAGGACGAUGACUUGUCAUUCUCUACUGAAAAGGAAGAACCCCAUUAUCAAGAAGCACCACCAUCACCAUGGUCCGCUCAUUCCUUUCGACAAGAAGAGAUGGCUAAAGAAGGGCAGAAAAUGUUCGUAAAGAGCACGGACAAUGCACAUGAUCAAGUGAUUCAAAGCCAUGUGCGUUCAAAGAAGACGCGCCCUUCACCAAUGGAGGUGGUGUUGAGCUAGGCAACCAAUUUUGGAAAGUACGAAUCAACCAUCCUAUUCGUAAAAAUGAGGAGCUUGUAAGACCAUUGGAUCAUUGCAAGACAAUUAAUGAUGCCCAUGCCAAAGGAGUGGUGAUUGCAUGGCCUUCAAUAUGUGUUCGGAAGAUUAAUGGUUGAUUUCGCUUUCAUCUCACCCCAUGGAUUGAUAAACCGGCAAAGACUUUCAAGAAGAAGAAGAAGAAGACGAAUAGAUUAUCAUUUUGUCAUAUUUUAGUAUGAAAGACUGUUAUUCUAAAGACUUGCUUUUCUCAAAUGGAUUAUCAUGUAUGUUUUGUAAUGAUGGGAAGGAUGUUUUAACUAUUUUGUUAUGCAAUGCAAUCUUUAUUUUC